rfam:Nomascus leucogenys chromosome 21, whole genome shotgun sequence.
AUGCUCGCUCACUUGGGCAGCAUGUAUACUACAAUUGGAAUGAUUACAAAGAAGAUUAACAUAGCCCCUAGGCAAGGACGACAUAAAUUCAUGAAGCAGUUCAUAUAAAAAUUUCUU